rnacentral:rRNA from 1 species
UACGUAGGGUCCGAGCGUUGUCCGGAAUUAUUGGGCGUAAAGGGCUCGUAGGCGGUUUGUCGCGUCGGGAGUGAAAACACGGGGCUUAACCCCGUGCCUGCUUCCGAUACGGGCAGACUAGAGGUAUGCAGGGGAGAACGGAAUUCCUGGUGUAGCGGUGAAAUGCGCAGAUAUCAGGAGGAACACCGGUGGCGAAGGCGGUUCUCUGGGCAUGACCUGACGCUGAGGAGCGAAAGUGUGGGGAGCGAACAGG